rnacentral:rRNA from 1 species
ACUGCCCUAUGGGUUGUAAACUUCUUUUAUAAAGGAAUAAAGUCGGGUAUGGAUACCCGUUUGCAUGUACUUUAUGAAUAAGGAUCGGCUAACUCCGUGCCAGCAGCCGCGGUAAUACGGAGGAUCCGAGCGUUAUCCGGAUUUAUUGGGUUUAAAGGGAGCGUAGAUGGAUGUUUAAGUCAGUUGUGAAAGUUUGCGGCUCAACCGUAAAAUUGCAGUUGAUACUGGAUAUCUUGAGUGCAGUUGAGGCAGGCGGAAUUCGUGGUGUAGCGGUGAAAUGCUUAGAUAUCACGAAGAACUCCGAUUGCGAAGGCAGCCUGCUAAGCUGCAACUGACAUUGAGGCUCGAAAGUGUGGGUAUCAAACAGGAUUAAAUACCCUGGUAGUCCACACGGUAAACGAUGAAUACUCGCUGUUUGCGAUAUACGGCAAGCGGCCAACCGAAAGCGUUAAGUAUUCCACCUGGGGAGCA